GCACUCACCUAUCCAUUAAACAGCAACUUCAAUGUUGAAAGAUUUUAUUUGUUUUUUAGGUGUUUUUAAAAAAACAAAUAAAAUCUUUCAACAUUGAAGUUGCUGUUUAGUGGAUAGGUGAGUGC